rnacentral:tRNA from 1 species
GGAGAGAUGGUUGGGCAAACCAAAGCGAUGGAUUGCUAAUCCGUAAUACGGAUCAUCCAUACAGAGGGUUCGAAUCCCUCUCUCUAUG